UACGUAGGUGGCGAGCGUUGUCCGGAUUUACUGGGCGUAAAGGGCGUGCAGGCGGUUUGUUAAGUGCAGGGUGAAAGCUCCCGGCUCAACUGGGAGAGGUCCUUGCAUACUGGCGAACUCGAGGGAGGCAGAGGAAAGUGGAAUUCCCGGUGUAGUGGUGAUAUGCGUAGAUAUCGGGAGGAACACCUGUGGCGAAGGCGGCUUUCUGGAACGGUACUGACGCUGAGACGCGAAAGCGUGGGGAGCGAACAGG
rnacentral:rRNA from 1 species